ensembl:misc_RNA Metazoa_SRP Metazoan signal recognition particle RNA
GCUGGGAGCAGUGGUAUGCACCUCUAAUCCCAGCUACUUAAAAGGCUGAGGCAGGAGGAUUACUUGGGUCCAGCAGUUCUGGGCUUUAGUGCACUGUGCUGAUCAAGUAUCUGCACUAAGUUUGGCAUCAAUAUGGCUUUUCAGCAGGGUACCGUCAGGUUGCCUAAAGAGGGUGGAAUGGCCCAGGAGCAGGUCAAAAAUCCUCUGCUGAUCAGUAGUGGGAGUGCCCCUGUGAUAACCAGUGCACUGCAGUCUGGGCAACAUAGCAAGACCCCAUUUCUU